UACGUAGGUGACCAGCGUUGUCCGGCUUUACUGGGCGUAAAGAGCGCGCAGGCGGUCGUUCAAGUCGAGUGUGAAAGCCCCCGGCUCAACUGGGGAGGGUCACUCGAUACUGAUCGACUUGAAGGCAGGAGAGGGAAGCGGAAUUCCCGGUGUGGUGGUGAAAUGCGUAGAUAUCGGGAGGAACACCAGUGGCGAAGGCGGCUUCCUGGCCUGUUCUUGACGCUGAGGCGCGAAAGCUAGGGGAGCAAACGGG
rnacentral:rRNA from 1 species